rnacentral:ncRNA from 2 species
UUCCAAGGGUGAUAUCCAGGUGAGGGAAUCCCGUGAUCUCCGUUUCGAUGGAGAAAUUCGGGGACGGACCCGCCGCUGUAUUCGGGGACAAAACUUGCAGUAAGCCACUGCCCUUCGACGAGCUCAGGGCGGGAAGGCGCAAGGAGUAGGAAGAUCCGAGAGUCAGAAAACCUGCCAGGAUAUUCUUCACAAG